rnacentral:rRNA from 1 species
AUGGACCUAAUACUUCCGUUUAAAGUUGGAGAUGCCGUAGAGAUAAGAUCCUAUAAUGUUGGUUAUAGGGGUGCAUGGUUCCGGUGCAAGGUACAACUUGCAAUUUCUUUAACCUUGCUUGUUCAUAUCACCGAUAUGUGUAUCAGGAGUGGUCACAUGGAGUGUCAGGUGGAGUAUAUAGACUAUCCAGAUGAAAGAAGGAAAUGGAAUAGACUCUACAAAAUUCCCCCAAAAUGCCGUAAUCAGAAAGCAAGUCAGAAUAGGGAGAUCAUGCUACGACCUCCUUUUCCUCAGUGGUGUUGGGAGAAUGAUAUUUGUGAGCAUGGGCAACAAAUGGAUGUUGUAGCAGUUGUAAGCAGUCCUUGGAAAGUAGGUGACUUGAUUGAUUGGUGGUACACUGAUUGUUUCUGGACCGGGAAAAUUAUCGAGUUGCUGGAUGAUGACAAAGUUAAGAUAAUUUGUCCUGAAAUACCAUUAGGUGAAGGUGGAUGUUGGGUUGCCCAUCCCAAGGACCUGAGGCCAGCGCUUGAUUGGUCCCUUGAAAAAGGUUGGAGCGCCCCUCUUUCACAGGAAAACGGCAAAUGCUGGCAUACUGCUCGUUUGAUUGCAGGGAACCAAGAUACAUUAAGUAGCAGCUCUGAUGAGGAUGACAUUGAGCAAUCUUGUGAUGGUAACAAGGUACUACAAAAAUGCUUGAAUGGAUCAUUUGAUUCAUCGGAGCAAGAAAUAGGAAAAUGCCUGAAUGGAGCAUCUGAUACACCAAAGGAGUUGGUGGAUCCAGAUGUAAUACAUCCAGCCAAUACAAAUGGCAGGUGCUGCAUGGAAAGUCAAACAGAUAGUGAAGGGGAACCACAAAAAUACAUGAAUGAAGAGCCUGGCGUGUCUCUGGAGGCCAUCUGUUCAAAAGUGCAACUCGCACCCAAUGAAACUGGUGAAUGUUGCAUGAACAGCCAAGCAGACUGUCCGACGUCUCCUUUGGCCAAUUCAGGACAGUCUCCUCAGUUCAUUACCAAUGAGCAAUCAAGAAAGACCAACUUUCUCUGCAUGAUCAGAUGA